rnacentral:rRNA from 1 species
UAAAGCGUGCGUAGGCGGCGUUUUAAGUUCGGAUGUGAAAUCCCCGAGCUUAACUUGGGAAUUGCAUUCGAUACUGGGAAGCUAGAGUAUGGGAGAGGAUGGUAGAAUUCCAGGUGUAGCGGUGAAAUGCGUAGAGAUCUGGAGGAAUACCGAUGGCGAAGGCAGCCAUCUGGCCUAAUACUGACGCUGAGGUACGAAAGCAUGGGGAGCAAACAGGAUUAGAUACCCUGGUAG